rnacentral:rRNA from 1 species
AUUGAACGCUGGCGGCAUGCCUUACACAUGCAAGUCGAACGGCAGCGGGGGAGAAGCUUGCUUUUCCUGCCGGCGAGUGGCGAACGGGUGAGUAAUACAUCGGAACGUGCCCUGUAGUGGGGGAUAACUAGUCGAAAGAUUAGCUAAUACCGCAUACGACCUGAGGGUGAAAGUGGGGGACCGCAAGGCCUCAUGCUAUAGGAGCGGCCGAUGUCUGAUUAGCUAGUUGGUGGGGUAAAGGCCUACCAAGGCGACGAUCAGUAGCUGGUCUGAGAGGACGAUCAGCCACACUGGGACUGAGACACGGCCCAGACUCCUACGGGAGGCAGCAGUGGGGAAUUUUGGACAAUGGGGGCAACCCUGAUCCAGCAAUGCCGCGUGUGUGAAGAAGGCCUUCGGGUUGUAAAGCACUUUUGUCCGGAAAGAAAUCGCGCUGGUUAAUACCUGGCGUGGAUGACGGUACCGGAAGAAUAAGCACCGGCUAACUACGUGCCAGCCGCCGCAGUAAUAC